rnacentral:rRNA from 1 species
AUUGAACGCUGGCGGCAUGGCUAAAACAUGCAAGUCGAACGAGAACCUCGCAAGAGGGGACAGUGGCGGAAGGGUCAGUAAUGCGAUCGAAUGUACCCCGAGGUGGGGGAUAGGUCGGGGAAACCCGGCGUAAUACCCCAUGUGCUCUCCGGAGCAAAGAUUCAUCGCCUUGGGAGCAGCGGUCGUCCUAUCAGGUAGUUGGCGGGGUAAGAGCCCACCAAGCCGAAGACGGGUAGCGGGNGUGAGAGCACGGCCCGCGACAUCGGGACUGAGACACUGCCCGGACUCCUACGGGAGGCUGCAGUAACGAAUAUUCCGCAAUGGGCGCAAGCCUGACGGAGCAAUGCCGCGUGCGGGAUGAAGCGGCUUCGCCGUGUAAACCGCUGUC